GACGAACGCUGGCGGCGUGCUUAACACAUGCAAGUCGAACGGAAAGGCCCUGCUUUUGUGGGGUGCUCGAGUGGCGAACGGGUGAGUAACACGUGAGUAACCAGCCCUUGACUUUGGGAUAACUUCAGGAAACUGGGGCUAAUAACGGAUAGGAGCUACUGCUGCAUGGUGGGGGUUGGAAUGAUUCGGCGGUUGGGGAUGGAUUCGCGGCUUAUCAGCUUGUUGGUGGGGUAGUGGCUUACCAAGGCUUUGACGGGUAGCCGGCCUGAGAGGGUGACCGGCCACAUUGGGACUGAGAUACGGCCCAGACUCCUACGGGAGGCAGCAGUGGGAGAUGUUGCACAAUCGGCGUAAGCCUGAUGCAGCAGCGCCGCGUGCGGGAUAUCGACCUUCGGGUUGUAUUCCGCUUUCGCCUUGUACGAGGCGUAAAUGACGGUAAUGGGUAAAUAAGCACCGGCUAACUACGUG
rnacentral:rRNA from 1 species